rnacentral:rRNA from 1 species
UACGUAGGGUCCGAGCGUUGUCCGGAAUUAUUGGGCGUAAAGGGCUCGUAGGCGGUCGGCUAUGUCGGAUGUGAAAGCCUCGGGCUUAACCCGAGAAGGGCAUCCGAAACUGGCCGGCUUGAGUACGGAAGAGGGUCUCGGAAUUCCCGGUGUAGAGGUGAAAUUCGUAGAUAUCGGGAGGAACACCAGUGGCGAAGGCGGAGACCUGGGCCGAUACUGACGCUGAGGUGCGAAAGCGUGGGGAGCAAACAGG